rnacentral:lncRNA from 1 species
GGCAAGCGACGCAAGGCAGAGACGUGGAGCGCGUACUUCGAGCGCCUCCGCAUAGCGCGCGACAUAUCCUGGUUUAGAGAGAAGGGGCUGAAGAUGUCGACCGUUAAUAUCGUCGCGCGCUCAACUGCGCCGUUGGAUGAGCUUAUAAAGGCGCAGGGGGACGUUCAGGAGUGAGUUGCGACGCUUAAUCGGUCUCACCUUCGGGUUGCAAUAUCUGAGCCUGCGAAGGGUUUAAGUUAGUAAGUUAGGGUGUAUUUCCAGUGCGGAUUAACGUCGCGGAUUAACCCUCUGUCCUCCAUCGAUACUUGCUCAAACGGCUGGCAGACUUACCUCGCCUUUCCAACCUUUGGUUCCCUUUUGGAACGAAGCUAUGUGGUAAGCUCGUACCAAGGACUUCCGUGCCCUAAUCCCUGGCCUUGAUACGCACUGGAAAUACACCCUUAGUAAGGGAUUUAACUUGUAUACCGCUG